GAUGAACGCUGGCGGCGUGCCUAAUACAUGCAAGUCGAGCGAAUGACGAGGAGCUUGCUCCUCUGAUUUAGCGGCGGACGGGUGAGUAACACGUGGGUAACCUGCCUGUAAGACGGGGAUAACUCCGGGAAACCGGAGCUAAUACCGGAUGAUAAAGAGAAGCCCCUGCUUCUUUUUUGAAAGUCGGUUUCGGCUGACGCUUACAGAUGGGCCCGCGGCGCAUUAGCUAGUUGGUGAGGUAACGGCUCACCAAGGCGACGAUGCGUAGCCGACCUGAGAGGGUGAUCGGCCACACUGGGACUGAGACACGGCCCAGACUCCUACGGGAGGCAGCAGUAGGGAAUCUUCGGCAAUGGACGAAAGUCUGACCGAGCAACGCCGCGUGAGCGAUGAAGGCCUUCGGGUCGUAAAGCUCUGUUGUCAGAGAAGAACAAGUACCGGAGUAACUGCCGGUACCUUGACGGUACCUGACCAGAAAGCCACGGCUAACUACGUGCCAGCCGCCGCCGUAAAAC
rnacentral:rRNA from 1 species